rnacentral:lncRNA from 1 species
UGCAAUGGCACGAUCUCGGCUCACCGCAAUCUCUGCCUCCUGGGUUCAAGCCAUUGUCCUGCCUCAGCCUCCCGAGUAGCUGGGAUUACAGGAAGAAGGUUUUAUUUAGCUCACUGUCGUGCAGGUUGGCAAGUUCAAUGGAACAGCUCGGGAUUUUGAAAACUUUGCAUUGUCUAUGUUCAGCACUUGUGUGAGUUAAUCAACUGACAAUUCUUCUGGGCUAAAUAAAUCAUGUUCAAAAUAGAUUAAGGUGAGUCUUUUACAAAGCUUUUUGGAUCUGCUUUCAUUUUACUCACUCCUUCCUUUCCUAAAUGCAUAAAAAUAGAAAGGUCAAGUGAGCACCAUUGCUACCCAAUAUUUUGCAAGUGGAGAUCCUAAAUUAUGGUAUUUAAAAAAAUCACCUUUUCUAGGCAGACAUAGUCUUCAGGCUGUUCAUUUGUUUAUCAUUUGGUUGCUUCAUGACCAAACAGCGAAAGCAAACAAACAAAAAGGCCUCCCUUCCACCAGGCUGAGGCAGUCCUGUACAAGGCCACAUAGCUUGGCAAGUGAAAGGUUCGUUAGGUAUCAGGCUUCUUUCAUUUGUUCUGACAGAGACCUUUGUGUGGUGCAGAACUGCACAUCUGUAUGCACCAUCCUCAGGAUACCUUUUUUAUAUCUUUAUGCAUUUCUUUCCCUUCCAUAUAGAAAACUGACCCUAACUAUAUGUACUUACUCCAUUUCUAUUUUCAAGUAUAGCUUUUCAAAAAGAAUAAACUUAGGAGAGAGUUUUGUUGGAAAUGAAUGAGAACUUCUUGAUCAUCAGAAUAACAAAAUAUUGAAAUAUUUGGGACAUUGGGAAAUGUCUAACAAGAAAAUAAUUGACUAAUCUAAACAUUUAAGUUGAAGUAUAGGUGCUAAAUUAGAUAACAUGCCUUAUCCUUUUUAUGGUUCUGUUACUUAGAUAUAUUUAAGUCUAUAACAGUACCCCCAGAAUGACUGAGAUGCUGUUCAGUUAUAAAUGUGCUUGAACUAGCUCUGGGGACAGACAUUUUGGCAGGUAGGAGAAAUUUUCAAAAAUCUCCAGUUUUAUGGUUUCUGGUAUAAUAGUAACAUUUUAUUUUCAUAAUGCAGAUUGAAUUAGCUAAAUUAUUUGAUUAUGCAAAAAUGAAUUUUGGAGAGCUUUACACUUUACAUUAUUCCAGUAAGAAACUUAAAAGAGAGAAGAGUUUGAAUACAGCUACGUGAGAUUUGAUAAGUAUAUACUGGGUGAUUUUCUGGUUAUAUUUUAAAAAUAUUGUUCUCAUUUUCAUGUACACAUUUGGACAAAAUAACUGCACAUAUUUAUUGUGUAUAUUUUAAGUGGUAGAAAUACCAUUAAAGUCCAUGGAGUAAAUAUAUAGUCAUUUUAAAAAUUAUCUGGAAACCUCAAGAGCUUUUUGCUGCUGUUUCAUCUGUCAGUUAAAUUUAUUUCAGUAGUAUAAAUAAUAGUUACGUGAUAUUAUUAUAUAAAGUAGCUAUGAAAAUAUGUACAAUUUACUUGUAAGAAUGAUCAAAUAAAUAAAUACAGGAGGGUAUAUCCUGUCUUGAUCAACGCGUGUAACUCUAUGAGUGUUAAUCGGCUUUUUGCUUAUACUUUUAUAGGAAAAUGUACACACUAAUUUAACAUAUGCUGUUUAAUUCAUUUCUAAAAAGUGAUUCAUGUGUCACAUUUUUAACGUGUACAGAUUCACACAUUAACAGAGUUGGGUUUAAAGAAUUUGGUAGAUUCCUAAAACAAUUUAUUAUUGAAACAUUAUAAGAAAGAAUAAGACAACCUAAAACUAAUCCACCAAUUUGUCUGAAUACACUGGUCAAAAUAUGCAGAGAUAAUGCGCUAGUAUUAAUUUGUAUUAAAUGAACACUUUUUUGAAUAAUCACUGUGUUUUUAUUAAUACCAUGUAAGAUUUUCUAUCUUUUUUUUCCUCAAAGAUGAUAUAAAAUAAGAGAGAGUUAAAUAAUACUUCACAGGCUUUUCUAUGGAAAGAAUACUUCACACUUUUUCUAUGGAAAGCUUGUAUAAGCAUGUCCUUAAACAAUUUAAAUGUAUGGCCUAGCACUUGGGCAAGUCUGUAGAAAAUUUAUUUUGGGGAUUCCAUUCUUACAGUUGUUUCUUUCUUACCAAAUCACCUGAUUUCCAGGAAAACAGAUUGAACAUAUCCAGAAACAUCCCCAUUCUAAACAUACCAAAAUAAUAAAAUAGACAUGCUUUAAAACUUUAAAAAUUAUGAAAAAGAAAUAAUCUCCCAAUACCUUAAACAAAUGGUGACACCAAUUCGGCAGCUUACUGUAAGAGUCUCUAGUUAAGAGGAAGAAGUUACAGGUACAGAUUUAAGUUUGAGAAGCGACAAUAGGUAGAUGUUACUGUUUUUAUAGAAUAAGGUUAGACUCUAGAGAGAGAAAAUGAAAAUAGGGAGAAUGACAACUGCCAGAAUUGAGCUCGCUUCUUUAAUAUUUAAUGCUUAGAUAGAGGAAGAGGAGGAGGAGGAAGAGCUAACAACAAAAACAACCUGAAAAGACAUAACUACAGAAAUUGAAGAAAAUAUUAAAAGAGGGAAGCAUCAACAAACAUACAAACAUGGAGUGCCUUCAUAGACGAAGCUUUACUGUGUCAAGCAUUCCUGAGAGUUUAAGGUAGAUUACUGAGGCAAAGAACCGACCGUCAGAUUUAGCAAAAUGGAAACCAAUGGUGAAAUUGACAAGACAGUUUCAUGAAAACAAAGAACAUAAAAAGAAAUGCAAUAUGACUGUUUGGCUAAUGAUAAAUACACAGUAGGCACACGUAAUUAUAAAUUGAAGUGAUACUAGUUGACCUAAUUAUAUAAUUUCCUACAGAUAUAUAAUAUACAAUUAAUAUUCUCUACCUAUUUUUCCCCUGCUUCAGUGAAGCCACAUGUAUUAGUUUGCCAGGACUGCCAUAACAAAAUGCUACAGACUGUGUGGCUUAAACAACAGAAAUGUAUUUCACACAGUUCUUAAAGUAGAAAUUCAAGGUCAAGCUGAUGGCAAGUUUGGUUUCUCCCGAGGCCUCUCUUUUAGGCUAGUAGAGGACUACCUUCUUGCUAGGUCCUUACAUAGCCUUUUCUGUAUGGUCUCUCUCUCUCUCUCUGUCUCUCUCUCUCUCUCUCUCUGUCUCCCUCUCUCUCUUUCUUUUUAUAAGGAUACCAGUCAUAAUAAAGGGCCCCACCCUUGUAACUUUAUUUAACUUUAAUUGCCUCCUUAAAGGCCCUGCUUCCAAAUUUAGUCGCACUGGGGGUUAGAAAUUCAACAGAUGGGCCUGACGCGAUGGCUCACGCCUGUAAUCCCAACACUGUGGGAGGCCGAGGUGGGUGGAUCACGAGGUCAGGAAUUCAAGACCAGCCUGGCCAACUUGGUGAAACCCCGUCUCUACUAAAAAAA